rnacentral:rRNA from 1 species
CGGGGGGGGCUAAGCGUUGUUCGGAAUUACUGGGCGUAAAGGGCUCGUAGGCGGCCAACUAAGUCGGACGUGAAAUCCCCAGGCUCAACCUGGGAACUGCGUCCGAUACUGGAUGGCUUGAAUCCGGGAGAGGGAUGCAGAAUUCCAGGUGUAGCGGUGAAAUGCGUAGAUAUCUGGAGGAAUACCGGUGGCGAAGGCGGCAUCCUGGACCGGCAUUGACGCUGAGGAGCGAAAGCCAGGGGAGCAAACGGGAUUAGAUACCCCGGUAGUCCUGGCCCUAAACGAUGAUGCUUGGUGUAACGGGUAUCGAUCCCUGUUGUGCCGAAGCUAACGCAUUAAGCAUUCCGCCUGGGGAGUACGGUCGCAAGGCUG